rnacentral:rRNA from 1 species
UGCGUAGGCGGCCUGACAAGUCAGAGGUGAAAGGCUACGGCUUAACCGUAGUAAGCCUUUGAAACUGACAGGCUUGAGUGCAGGAGAGGAAAGUGGAAUUCCUAGUGUAGCGGUGAAAUGCGUAGAUAUUAGGAGGAACACCAGUGGCGAAGGCGACUUUCUGGACUGUAACUGACGCUGAGGCACGAAAGCGUGGGGAGCAAACAGGAUUAGAUACCCUGGUAGUCC